AAUGAACGCUGGCGGCGUGCCUAACACAUGCAAGUCGUACGAGAAAUCCCGAGCUUGCUUGGGAGAGUAAAGUGGCGCACGGGUGAGUAACGCGUGGGUAACCUGCCCUUGAAUCGGGGAUAACUCCGCGAAAGCGGUGCUAAUACCGGAUAAGACCACUACCGCUACGGCGGCAGAGGUAAAAGCUGACCUCUCCAUGGAAGUUAGCGUUUGAGGACGGGCCCGCGUCCUAUCAGCUUGUUGGUAGGGUAACGGCCUACCAAGGCAACGACGGGGUAGCUGGUCUGAGAGGAUGAUCAGCCACACUGGAACUGGAACACGGUCCAGACUCCUACGGGAGGCAGCAGUGAGGAAUUUUGCGCAAUGGGGGAAACCCUGACGCAGCAACGCCGCGUGGGUGAAGAAGGCCUUCGGGUCGUAAAGCCCUGUCAGGUGGGAAGAACUGUUUCGAUACUAAUAAUGUCGAAGCCUGACGGUACCACCAGAGGAAGCACCGGCCACUCCGUG
rnacentral:rRNA from 1 species